AGUGAACGCUGGCGGUAGGCCUAACACAUGCAAGUCGAACGGCAGCACAGUAAGAGCUUGCUCUUACGGGUGGCGAGUGGCGGACGGGUGAGGAAUACAUCGGAAUCUACUUUUUCGUGGGGGAUAGCGUAGGGAAACUUACGCUAAUACCGCAUACGACCUACGGGUGAAAGCAGGGGAACUUCGGACCUUGCGCGAUUGAAUGAGCCGAUGUCGGAUUAGCUAGUUGGCGGGGUAAAGGCCCACCAAGGCGACGAUCCGUAGCUGGUCUGAGAGGAUGAUCAGCCACACUGGAACUGAGACACGGUCCAGACUCCUACGGGAGGCAGCAGUGGGGAAUAUUGGGCAAUGGGCGCAAGCCUGAUCCAGCCAUACCGCGUGGGUGAAGAAGGCCUUCGGGUUGUAAAGCCCUUUUGUUGGGAAAGAAAAGCAGCAGGUUAAUACCCCGCUGUUCUGACGGUACCCAAAGAAUAAGCACCGGCUAACUUCGUG
rnacentral:rRNA from 1 species